rnacentral:piRNA from 1 species
UGCCAGGAUACUCAUGUAAAUCGUCAAGUGC